CCGGCAGCAGAUUUGUUUUUAGAUUUUAUUGAUAACAACACUCAUCAUUAAUUGUGCACAAAGCUGAACCUGGAGCAGAGAUGGUUAGUGACAGGCUGCUUUUAUAACUCAUGGCCGUGCAGGUGCACAGAAACCUUCACAGAGCUGCAACUUAUUCCUGUGA